rnacentral:rRNA from 1 species
AUGGCGACAGCGGAGGCGCGACGUCCGCCGUCUAAGGGGAAGGGGCCAUCACCGCCGGCGAGCGGCGUCGCCGGGACGAAGAAGCGGAAGAGGGUGCUCCCGCCGCUGCUGCCGCCCGGGACGGCCGUGGAGGUGCUUCGCAACGGGGCCUGGGUGGGCGGCGGCACGGUGACCAUCCGCAACGGCCGCACCUACAUGGUCCGCCUCCCCGACGGCAUGACCGUGCUCAUGAGCCGGGGGAGGGUCAGGCCGGCGGCGACGGAGUAG